GUGUGGUUCGCAGCGCCCCAUGCGCACUAGUCGCGGAGGAGAAGCGCAGCGGAGGAGGGCGGGGCUACUGUCAGAGAGACUGAAAUAGUGACGUUAACUCUGUGCGGACUGGGCAGUGAAUAGACGCUGCGGUUCCGUAGGAGACUGUAUGGAGGGCAGAGGUUUCUGGGAGGUGUAGCUAGCAUGGAUGCUUUUUGCGUGGAGCGAUUAGUGAUGACUCCGCGUGGCUGCUGCAUGCUGGGUAGGACUGCGGUGCAGGGCUGGGGUCCAAGGUUCAAUUCCAGCUGUCAGCAUGGAGUUAGUGUUUACAUGGCUUCCCUCCAGGCACCCGAAAACAAACAGGGGAAGAAAUUAAGGCACUACUGUUGCUGAUUUACUACUUUGGUUUCUGGACAUCCCAAGGCACAUGGGGCUGUGGAUUAAGAAAAUUGAUGCCAGACUUAUAAUAAACAUGCUUCGGGUGGGGCUGUUAAUGCACUUAACUUAUGUUUGUGUAAUAAAUGCAAGAUAAUGUUUCUUGUCUGAAUUUCA